rnacentral:rRNA from 1 species
GAUGAACGCUGGCGGCGUGCCUAAUACAUGCAAGUCGAGCGAACAGACGAGGAGCUUGCUCCUCUGACGUUAGCGGCGGACGGGUGAGUAACACGUGGAUAACCCACCUAUAAGACUGGGAUAACUUCGGGAAACCGGAGCUAAUACCGGAUAAUAUAUUGAACCGCAUGGUUCAAUAGUGAAAGACGGUUUUGCUGUCACUUAUAGAUGGAUCCGCGCCGCAUUAGCUAGUUGGUAGGGUAACGGCUUAUCAAGGCAACGAUGCGUAGCCGACCUGAGAGGGUGAUCGGCCACACUGGAACUGAGACACGGUCCAGACUCCUACGGGAGGCAGCAGUAGGGAAUCUUCCGCAAUGGGCGAAAGCAUGACGGAGCAACGCCGCGUGAGUGAUGAAGGUCUUCGGAUCGUAAAACUCUGUUAUUAGGGAAAAACAAAUGUGUAAGUAAAUAUGCACGUCUUGACGGUACCUAAUCAGAAAGCCACGGCUAACUACGUG